AGCGAACGCUGGCGGCAGGCUUAACACAUGCAAGUCGAGCGGGCACUUCGGUGUCAGCGGCAGACGGGUGAGUAACACGUGGGAACGUACCCUUCGGUUCGGAAUAACGCUGGGAAACUAGCGCUAAUACCGGAUACGCCCUGUUGGGGAAAGGUUUACUGCCGAAGGAUCGGCCCGCGUCGGAUUAGCUAGUUGGUGGGGUAAUGGCCUACCAAGGCGACGAUCAGUAGCUGGUCUGAGAGGAUGAUCAGCCACACUGGGACUGAGACACGGCCCAGACUCCUACGGGAGGCAGCAGUGGGGAAUAUUGGACAAUGGGCGCAAGCCUGAUCCAGCCAUGCCGCGUGAGUGAUGAAGGCCUUAGGGUUGUAAAGCUCUUUUGUCCGGGACGAUAAUGACGGUACCGGAAGAAUAAGCCCCGGCUAACUUCGUG
rnacentral:rRNA from 1 species